rnacentral:rRNA from 1 species
ACGUAGGAGGCAAGCGUUAUCCGGAGUUACUGGGCGUAAAGGGCGUGCAGGCGGUUGGCUAAGUUCGUUGUGAAAGCGCCCAGGCUUAACCGGGCGAGGACAAUGAAGACUGGCGGGCUGGAGUACGGCAGAGGGGGGUGGAAUUCCACGUGUAGCAGUGAAAUGCGUAGAGAUGUGGAGGAACACCGAUGGCGAAGGCAGCCCCCUGGGCCGAUACUGACGCUCAUGCACGAAAGCGUGGGGAGCAAACAG